rnacentral:lncRNA from 1 species
GUGACACAGACAUCUGUGGUGAGUGGCCGCUUCAUGGGUGAUCCUUCACACGAGUAUGAACACACCGAGCUCCAGAAGGUCAGCGAAGGUGACAAGGUCUUUGAUGAAGAAGUGGUGGAAUGCUGGGGUUCCAGGUGUGUGUCCCUGUAUGCAGGUAUCCAGCUCUGUUAUGUGUUCCAGGUUCUGAUAAUCAGGCUUGCAAGAAGCUGGCCAUUAAUUUGCUAUGUAGCUAAGGAUGACUUCCAACUUGACCUGGUUUAUGGGGUCCGAAGGACUGGACCCUAGACCUUGUAGAAGUUAAGCAAGUAUUCUUCCCACAGGACUGAAAGCUACCCCUGCUUCCCUAACUUGUUUUCUUAGAGACAGAAUCUUAUGUGGUCCUCGGUGGCCUGAAACCCUGUAUAUAAAUAAGCAUGAUCUUGAACUCCCGGUCCUUGUGCCUCCACUUCCUGAGUGUCAAGGCUACAGGUGUGUGCCAGCACAUGUGAUGGGGGGGGAUUUGAACCCAGAGCAUUGCAUGCAUUAGGUGAGAGCUACACCGACUGCUUUAUGAUUGUUUUCUUGCUCCAUAUUUUCAAACGCAGAAUAAAAAGCAUGGUGACUUG